GGUUCCCUUCCGCCGCUCAGCACGGAGACCUUGCAACCCCUUAGGGAGGCAGCACGACAGUAAAUAAAGCUCGCCGUUUGCAAGUCGGCCAACUGGCCGGCAACACAAUCGAAUUGACGGGGACCUCCUAAAGCCUGUAACACCAACCGUCCGGGGAAACUCGGGCGGGGCCCUCACGGGGUGGUAAGAGAGUACAGGAUGUAACAAUGGACAAUCCGCAGCGAAGACCCUACCGGCUCCGGCCCACGGGUACCGUUCACAGACUAAGUGAUUGUGGGCGGGGCAAUCGUGCCCUGUCUAAGAUAUAGUCGGACUCUACCUGAAAGGAUAGAGGAUAGCAUGUCCGUAGGUGAACCUGCGGAAGGAUCAUUAAAGAAUGCCCCGUUUUUUGAAAUGGGUUCUAUUCCCAAACCGUGUAUACAUACCUUUGUUGCUUUGGCAGGCCGCUUUCGGGCGUCGGCUCACGCUGACCGCGCCUGCCAGAGGAUCCAAACUCGUUUGUUUAGUGAUGUCUGAGUACUAUAUAAUAGUUAAAACUUUCAACAACGGAUCUCUUGGUUCUGGCAUCGAUGAAGAACGCAGCGAAAUGCGAUAAGUAAUGUGAAUUGCAGAAUUCAGUGAAUCAUCGAAUCUUUGAACGCACAUUGCGCCCCUUGGUAUUCCGAGGGGCAUGCCUGUUCGAGCGUCAUUAUGACCACUCAAGCCUUAGCUUGGUAUUGGGGUUCGCGGUCUCGCGGCCCUUAAAAUCAGUGGCGGUGCCAUCUGGCUCUAAGCGUAGUAACUUAUCUCGCUAUUGGGUCCGGUGGUUACCUGCUAAUAACCCCCAACUUCUAAGGUUGACCUCGGAUCAGGUAGGGAUACCCGCUGAACUUAA
rnacentral:rRNA from 1 species